rfam:Pseudomonas putida strain TASWS0946 Contig163, whole genome shotgun sequence.
GGCCGCCUGGGCCCCUGCAGCAGUCGAUCAACGCAUGCUGCUGCAGUCGAAUACCGGCCGCC